AACGAACGCUGGCGGCAUGCCUAACACAUGCAAGUCGAACGAGACCUUCGGGUCUAGUGGCGCACGGGUGCGUAACGCGUGGGAACCUGCCCUUAGGUUCGGAAUAACUCCCCGAAAGGGGUGCUAAUACCGGAUAAUGUCUUCGGACCAAAGAUUUAUCGCCUUUGGAUGGGCCCGCGUUGGAUUAGCUAGUUGGUAGGGUAAAAGCCUACCAAGGCGACGAUCCAUAGCUGGUCUGAGAGGAUGAUCAGCCACACUGGGACUGAGACACGGCCCAGACUCCUACGGGGGGCAGGAGUGGGGAAUAUUGGACAAUGGGCGAAAGCCUGAUCCAGCAAUGCCGCGUGAGUGAUGAAGGCCUUAGGGUUGUAAAGCUCUUUUACCCGGGAUGAUAAUGACAGUACCGGGAGAAUAAGCUCCGGCUAACUCCGU
rnacentral:rRNA from 1 species